AUGCCUNNNNNNNNNNNNNNNNNNNNNNNNNNNNNNNNNNNNNNNNNNNNNNNNNNNNNNNNNNCACCUCCUCCGAGCUCUCUCCCUAACCAGGCUCCCGAGAUGCCUCCCUUUUCCUUUGCCGUCUUUGCACUCUGGUCUUUCCUUUGUGCACUGAUUUGUAAGUAUCUCUUCAGUAGUUACUUUUCCAGACACUGCACAUGUAGCAGGGAAAGAAAAGAGCAAACCCCUUCACCUUCCUGGAGCCUACUGUCUGUGGGGCAUCAGGAACAAGCAGAUUCACGCCACAGCCCCUUGGUGCCCCGCUGGCCGCCAGGUGGCCUCCUUGUUGCUCCUCUCCCCACCCCCUGGAACGUAAGCCCUGCAGAGGCAGGCAUGGUUUCUGCAUUGUUGAUCUCUUACUACAGUGCCUGGAGCACAGAGCACGCUGCUCAGUAUGUGAGCACAGCUGAUAUGUGUUGCACGGGAACUGUGCCAAAUGCCAGGCUCAGUGCUAACGAUGCAGAACUGCCCGACCCACGGCCCCCUGCCCCUGCCCACUCACAGUCAGGUGGGGCUAGAGAUAGUCACAGUGUACACGUGGGAUGCACCUUAUCACACCACCCAAGCAGGUGUAGUAAGGCAGCUCCGACUCAGCCUGGGGCUGGGAGAAGCGGAAAGACUUUAUGGAAGUUUCCCAGGCAAACAGGGGAAUCAGCCCUUGCUGACCACUUCCUGGUGGAUCCUCUUUGCACCGUCUGUUCUCCAUCCCAUCCCUCGUUGCCUCAGCCCACUUCUCCUAAUUUCUCACCUGGGCAUGUCAUCAAGCAAAAACUGUUCCCCUGCCCCUCCCCUGGACUCCGUACUCUGCAAAGCAGUGCGAGAUCGCUAGUAACAAACAUCUGAUCAUUAGUGUGCCCUGCUUAUUGAUUCUCCCAUGGUUUCCCAUAACCCGCAGAUGAAAACCCUAACUUCUUGGCAUGGCAGGACCUUUGCUAACUCCUCCCACCCUGGUUCCAUCUUUGUCCAUCUUCGACCUUGAGAUUUAAACACCAUAAAAAGGAGCCACCUGCAGGGAGGCAAAAUAACACCAGGAUGACAAGCAGGGCUCUGAAGUCAGAAAGUCCUGGGUCUGUAUCCUGGCUCUGACACUAAGGAGUAGGCCUUGAGUACCUUUCCUAUUCUCCCUGAGCCCUAGGUUUGUCACCUGUAAUAUGGAAAUGGUAAUAAUAACAGCCACCUUGCAGCAUUGUUUUGAGGAUUAAAUGAGUAUAGGUAUAUCAGACAACUGUCAAAAUGUCCAGCACGUGGCACGUAACCAGUAGCCAGGAGGGGUUUCCUCAAGGUCAUUACUGGUCUGUUGCUGGCAGACUCCAGCCGGCUCACACAAGGCCCUAAGUUGGUACCUGCUGUCUGCUCGUCCUUAAUGAACACCCCCUGCUUGUCUGUCAGACAAAGAAUCUUCUUUCAGUGUCAGCUCAAGUGGUUCCCACUUGGGGAUGUGCCCUUGAAUCAUUCAGGCAGACUUAGCUUGCCCUCUUGCUCUCUCUCUCUGUCACUCCCAGCCCCCCUUGGACAAUUUAUUUAUUUCUUUAUUUUGAAGAACAGAAGUUCAGUGUGGCAGGAAGUGAGGAUGAAAAGAGAUGAGCCUGGAGAGAUGGACUGAGGAGACCAUGAAGAGCCCAGAUCGGCUCCUUACAACCAGAAAUCCCACCCCUUCUGUUCUUUGUAUCUUCAGAACCAAGCACAGUGCCUUAUGCAUCCUGAGGGCUCCAGACCCGUUGUUCAACCAGCAUAGUCUCCUGACAGGUGACCAGGACACCUUGGGUGCUUUAGACGACCUCUGGGCAUGCCUGGAUCCCAUGGAUUUCCUGGGAACCACGUCCUGCUCCACGUUUCUCCUGAUGAUGGGAAGGUCACAGUCAGGCAAGAGGCAGAGUGCGCCUGUCUGUGUGUCUCUGGGAAUCUAGGCACCGUUCUCUGCACACAGUUGUCACAAAUGGGAUGGAGGUGUGGGUGGAUGGGGUGCGUGACAUUCGUCCCUCCCAGCUCCCUCCUCCAUCACACUGUUACGGGUGUGUCCACAGGCUGAAGGACGCUGGGAA
rnacentral:lncRNA from 1 species